AGUGAACGCUGGCGGUAGGCCUAGCACAUGCAAGUCGAACGGCAGCACAGUAAGAGCUUGCUCUUACGGGUGGCGAGUGGCGGACGGGUGAGGAAUACAUCGGAAUCUACUUUUUCGUGGGGGAUAACGUAGGGAAACUUACGCUAAUACCGCAUACGACCUACGGGUGAAAGCAGUGGAUCUUCGGACCUUUCGCGAUUGAAUGAGCCGAUUUCGGAUUAGCUAGUUGGCGGGGUAAAGGCCCACCAAGGCGACGAUCCGUAGCUGGUCUGAGAGGAUGAUCAGCCACACUGGAACUGAGACACGGUCCAGACUCCUACGGGAGGCAGCAGUGGGGAAUAUUGGACAAUGGGCGCAAGCCUGAUCCAGCCAUACCGCGUGGGUGAAGAAGGCCUUCGGGUUGUAAAGCCCUUUUGUUGGGAAAGAAAAGCAGCAGGUUAAUACCCCGCUGUUCUGACGGUACCCAAAGAAUAAGCACCGGCUAACUUCGUG
rnacentral:rRNA from 1 species